CUGCCCGUAGCACAGUGGCUAAUGCAUUAGAUUCCGAUUCUAAAGACCGAGAGUUCGAAUCUCUCCGGGCAGACCA
rnacentral:tRNA from 3 species